GAUUAGCACUCUCCUUGAUAAGGAUGGAAGAGGUCCUAAUGACUUUUAAAACUCACAUAUGGUUAAGGCGUUGCCAUUUACUUUGUGGCAUCUAACAUCGUUAAUGU
rnacentral:ncRNA from 1 species